rnacentral:pre_miRNA from 1 species
AUACAUACACCUCACAUUCUACUUUAUAGUAUCUAUAUUAUAAAGUAGAAUGUGAGGGGUAUGUAUG